rnacentral:lncRNA from 1 species
CAUUGAUGGUCCGGAUAUGCUUACCAAAUGACUGCGAAGAAUCGACUUGAGAUGUCUUAAGUUUCUCACAAUAUUCACAAUUGGAGAAACUUGAGUAUCUUUGGUCCAAGCAGACGACACAACAUCCAUAAAGGACGCUUCUUCAACCCAAUGGUUAAAGAAAUGAAAAGAGACCACUCGCUAGCUUUGCUGAUUACUAAGAUAGACAAGAAUGGGGGAAUGAUCAGAAAUACCCCACGGGAG